AAUCAACGCUGGCGGCGUGCCUCAGACAUGCAAGUCGAACGCGAAAGUCCCCUUCGGGGGGCAAGUAGAGUGGCGCACGGGUGAGUAACACGUAGGUAAUCUACCUUUGGAUGGGGAAUAACAACCGGAAACGGUUGCUAAUACCGCAUAAUGCAGCGGCACCUAAUGGUGACAGUUGUUAAAGCGGGGGAUCGAACGACCUCGCGUCUGAAGAGGAGCCUGCGGCGGAUUAGCUAGUUGGUAAGGUAACGGCUUACCAAGGCAACGAUCCGUAGCCGGCCUGAGAGGGCGGUCGGGCCACACUGACACUGACAUACGGGUCAGACUCCUACGGGAGGCAGCAGUCGGGAAUUUUGGGCAAUGGGCGAAAGCCUGACCCAGCAACGCCGCGUGAAGGAU
rnacentral:rRNA from 1 species